rnacentral:rRNA from 1 species
GUUGCACCAGUCGCGAAUCUUCCCCAAUGGGGCGCAAGCCUGAGGGAGCGACGCCGCGUGGGGGGAUGAAGGUCUUCGGAUCGUAAACCCCUGUUGCCCGGGACGAAGUUCUGACGGUACCGGGUGAGGAAGCUCCGGCUAACUACGUGCCAGCAGCCGGCGGUAAUACGUAGGGAGCGAGCGUUGCUCGGAAUUACUUGGGCGUAAAGGGUGUGUAGGUGGACAUGCAAGUCCAGGGUGAAAUCC